GAUGAACGCUAGCGGCAGGCCUAAUACAUGCAAGUCGAACGGAUAUAUGUUUUUCGGAAUAUAUAUUAGUGGCGCACGGGUGAGUAACACGUACAUAACUUGCCCUCAAGCGGGGGAUAGCCCUUGGGAAACUGAGAGUAAUACCCCCAUAGAAUUAUUGGACGGCAUCGUUUGAUAAUUAAAACUACGGUGUUUGGGGAUAGAUGUGCGUCUGAUUAGCUAGUUGGUGAGGUAACCUGCUCACCAAGGCGACGAUCAGUAGGGGGCGUGAGAGCGUGGGCCCCCCCACACGGGUACUGAGACCACGGACCCGACUCCUACGGGAGGCAGCAGUAAGGAAGUAUUGGUCAAUGGAGGGGAAACCUCUGAACCAGCCAUGCCGCGUGAAGGAUGACGGCCCU
rnacentral:rRNA from 1 species